CCUACGGGUGGCAGCAGUCGAGAAUCAUUCACAAUGGGGGAAACCCUGAUGGUGCGACGCCGCGUGGGGGAAUGAAGGUCUUCGGAUUGUAAACCCCUGUCAUGUGGGAGCAAAUUAAAAAGAUAGUACCACAAGAGGAAGAGACUGCUAACUCUGUGCCAGCAGCCGCGGUAAUACAGAGGUCUCAAGCGAUGUUCGGAAUCACUGGGCGUAAGGCGUGCGUAGGCUGUUUCGUAAGUCGUGUGUGAAAUGCGCGGGCUCAACCCGCGGACGGCACGUGAUACUGCGAAACUAGAGUAAUGGAGGGGGAAGCGGAAUUCUCGGUGUAGGAGUGAAAUGCGUAGAUAUCGAGAGGAACACUAGUGGCGAAGGCGGGUAACUGGAAAUUAACUGACGCUGAGGCACGAAGGCCAGGGGAGCGAAAGGGAUUAGAUACCCCAGUAGUC
rnacentral:rRNA from 1 species